UACGUAGGUCUCAAGCGUUAUCCGGAGUUACUGGGCGUAAAGGGUCCGUAGCCGGAUGUAUAAGUCUGUUUUCAAAUUCCUCGACUCAAUCGAGGGCAGGGAAUAGAUACUGUAUAUCUAGAGGUUUUUAGGGGUUAGUGGAAUUCCCAGUGGAGCGGUGAAAUGCGUUGAUAUUGGGAGGAACGCCAAAAGCGAAAGCAGCUAACUAUGAUAUACCUGACGGUCAGGGACGAAAGCUUGGGGAGCAAACGGG
rnacentral:rRNA from 1 species